AUUUUUGGUGUAGCGGCUGAAUAAUUAAGUCUGUUCGACUUUUGAAAUUUUACAUGAUCUGAGUUUAAACCGGUGUGAGCCAGGGUGGUUUCUAUCUUGAAUUAAAUUUAAUAUCUUAGUACGAAAGGACCAGUUAUUAAAUAAAUUAUUUAUUUUUAUUAGUUAAUAUAAU
rnacentral:rRNA from 1 species